AAGUGGCGGAAUUGGUAGACGCACCAGAUUUAGGUUCUGGCGCCGCAAGGUGUGAGAGUUCAAGUCUCUCCUUCCGCACCA
rnacentral:tRNA from 2 species